rnacentral:lncRNA from 1 species
CUCGUCAGUUACGAAGCUGGACUGAAACUGCCUAGUCAUUCAAUGCUGGAAGCUUCUGCGGGCGCGCCCAUGCGCGGUGCGGCAACUUGGCUCACUGCCAUGCGCGCGUGCGCCACACUGGCCCAUUUCCACGCGCGCUCAUGCGCGGUGCGGCCUCUUGGCUCAAGGCCAUGCGCGGUGCGGCCUCUUCCAUGCGCGCUCAUGCGUGGUGCGGCCUCUUGGCUUAAGUCCGUCCAUGCGCGCGUGCGCCACGUCACCUGUGAGCCUAUACGUGCGCGCCACACAGUCGCGCCGUAUUGGCUCACUCUGGUGCGCCGCGCACGACACAGCAGGACCCAUGCACCAUGCGCCCAACCGCGCGCCUCGUGUACCCGCGCGCGCAUGCGCGUGACUGCCACGUCAUGCGCCGCAUCACCUACCACUUGGUCCUUGCAACCCUUGUGCUUCACCACGCGCGCGCGGUC